rnacentral:rRNA from 1 species
GCAGUGGCAAACGGGUGAGUAUAAGAUAGGAACGUACUUCGAAGCGGGGCAUAGCCCACCGAAAGGUGGGGUAAUUUCCCAUACGCCUACGGGUGAAAGACGCAAGUCACUUCGAAAACGGCCUAUCUACUACCAGCUAGUUGGUAAGGUAACGGCUUACCAAGGCAAUGACGGUUACCGGCUCUUAGCGGAGAGUCCGGCACAAUGGGACUGAGACACGGCCCAUACACCUACGGGUGGCAGCAGUUAGGAAUUUUGCGCAAUGGACGAAAGUCUGACGCAGCGACACCGCGUGGAGGAUGAAGACCUUAGGGUUGUAAACUCCUUUUUAGCGGCCAUGAAGGCCACUAGAAUAAGUAGCUACUAACUACGUGCCAGCAGUCGCGGUAAUACGUAGGCUACGAGCGUUACUCGGAUUUAUUGGGCGUAAAGGGUCUGUAGACGGUUUUUUAAGUCUGAUUUCAAAGCCCCCGACUUAAUCGGGGAAAGGGGUCAGAUACUGGAAGACUAGAGUGGUAUCGGAGUUACUGGAAUUUUUAGUGUAGGGGUUAAAUCCGUGGAUACUAAAAAGAACACCAAGCGCGAAGGCGGGUAACUAGGUACAUACUGACGUUCAGAGACGAAAGCUAGGGUAGCCAAUCAGAUUAGAGACCUGAGUAGUCCUAGCCGUAAACAUUGUCCGUUAGUUCUUCCCAAUUUAUUGGGGGGGAUGUUAGCAAACGCGUUAAACGGAUCGCCUAGGGAGUAUAGCCGCAGGGCCGAAACUCAAACGAAUUGGCGGGGAGGCGCACAACCAGUGGAGCAUGUGGUUCAAUUCGAUACAAAGCGAUGAACCUUACCUGGGUUUGAA